rnacentral:rRNA from 1 species
GAUGAACGCUGGCGGUAUGCUUAACACAUGCAAGUCGAACGGACUCUUCGGAGUUAGUGGCGGACGGGUGAGUAACGCGUGAGAAUCUGGCUUUGGGUUCGGGACAACCACUGGAAACGGUGGCUAAUACCGGAUGUGCCGAGAGGUAAAAGAGAAAUUGCCUGAAGAUGAGCUCGCGUAUGAUUAGCUAGUUGGUGAGGUAAAGGCUCACCAAGGCAGCGAUCAGUAGCUGGUCUGAGAGGAUGACCAGCCACACUGGGACUGAGACACGGCCCAGACUACUACGGGAGGCAGCAGUGAGGAAUUUUCCGCAAUGGGCGAAAGCCUGACGGAGCAAUACCGCGUGAGGGAAGAAGGCUCUUGGGUUGUAAACCUCUUUACUUAGGGAAGAACAAAAUGACGGUACCUAAGGAAUAAGCAUCGGCUAACUCCGUG